rnacentral:tRNA from 1 species
GCUGGAAUGGUCUAGUUGGUUAUGACGACUGUCUCACACGCAGUAGGUCCCGAGUUCGACUCUCGGUUCCAGUA